UUGAAAAGCCGGUUCCCGUCAGGUCACCGAGGUUAAGCAACGUCGAGCCUGCUUAGUACCUAGAUCAGUGACCACUUAGGAAUACCAGCUGUUAU